rnacentral:rRNA from 1 species
UACGUAGGCAGCGAGCGUUGUUCGGAAUUACUGGGCGUAAAGCGUGCGUAGACGGUAGCGUAAGUCAGAUGUGAAAGCCCCGGGCUCAACCUGGGAAUGGCCGUUGAAACUGGCGAACUGGAGUGUGGCAGAGGGGGGUGGAAUUCCGCGUGUAGCAGUGAAAUGCGUAGAGAUGCGGAGGAACACCGAUGGCGAAGGCAGCCCCCUGGGCUGACACUGACGCUCAGGCACGAAAGCGUGGGGAGCAAACAGG